rnacentral:lncRNA from 1 species
GGUCACUGGAAGAGGCUGAAUGUGGAGGUCUGGUCACUGGAAGAGGCUGAAUGUGGAGGUCUGGUCACUGGAAGAGGCUGAAUGUGGAGGUCUGGUCACUGGAAGAGGCUGAAUGUGGAGGUCUGGUCACUGGAAGAGGCUGAAUGUGGAGGUCUGGUCACUGGAAGAGGCUGAAUGUGGAGGUCUGGUCACUGGAAGAGGCUGAAUGUGGAGGUCUGUUCACUGGAAGAGGCUGAAUGUGGAGGUCUGUUCACUGGAAGAGGCUGAAUGUGGAGGUAUGGUCACUGGAAGAGGCUGAAUGUGGAGGUCUGGUCACUGGAAGAGGCUGAAUGUGGAGGUCUGGUCACUGGAAGAGACUGAAUGUGGAGGUCUGGUCACUGGAAGAGGCUGAAUGUGGAGGUCUGGUCACUGGAAGAGGCUGAAUGUGGAGGUCUGGUCACUGGAAGAGGCUGAAUGUGGUCUGGUCACUGGAAGAGGCUGAAUGUGGAGGUCUGGUCACUGGAAGAGGCUGAAUGUGGAGGUCUGGUCACUGGAAGAGGCUGAAUGUGGAGGUCUGGUCACUGGAAGAGGCUGAAUGUGGUCUGUUCACUGGAAGAGGCUGAAUGUGGAGGUCUGGUCACUGGAAGAGGCUGAAUGUGGAGGUCUGGUCACUGGAAGAGGCUGAAUGUGGAGGUCUGGUCACUGGAAGAGGCUGAAUGUGGAGGUCUGUUCACUGGAAGAGGCUGAAUGUGGUCUGGUCACUGGAAGAGGCUGAAUGUGGAGGUCUGGUCACUGGAAGAGGCUGAAUGUGGAGGUCUGGUCACUGGAAGAGGCUGAAUGUGGAGGUCUGGUCACUGGAAGAGGCUGAAUGUGGAG